rnacentral:rRNA from 1 species
CAAUAGCGUAUAUUAAAGUUGUUGCAGUUAAAAAGCUCGUAGUUGGAUUUCGGGACGGUCCGGCUGGUCCGCCGCAAGGCGUGUUACUGACCGGGCUGUCCUUCUUUGCAAAGGCUGCAUGUGCUCUUAACUGAGUGUGUGUGUAGGAUUUGUGACGUUUACUUUGAAAAAAUUAGAGUGUUCAAAGCAGGCCUGCGCUUGAAUACAUAAGCAUGGAAUAAUGGAAUAGGACUUUGGUUCUAUUUUGUUGGUUUCUGGAACCGAAGUAAUGAUUAAAAGGGACAGUUGGGGGCAUUCGUAUUUCGUUGUCAGAGGUGAAAUUCUUGGAUUUACGAAAGACGAACUACUGCGAAAGCAUUUGCCAAGAAUGUUUUCAUUAA